CACCACCACCACCUCAACACUCAGUGCACCAGUCAACACCACCACCACCUCAACACUCAGUGCACCAGUCAACACCACCACCACCUCAACACUUGAGUCCAGUGUUUGACAUUAAUAUGGGCUUCCCCUAUUCACAUGCCAGCGGUGGUGGAGAGCCUGGAGGUCACCUCCUCUUCAAGCCAACUUUCAGAGUUGGCCAUGAAACAGGGCCAAUUCCUUGCACACCGGCUCAGCUACAUGGCCUAUUGCUUUUGGAAAACCUAAAGCAGCAGGUUGCCCAACUCGCCACCACCGUGAACCUGCUCAUGGCCAAGGUCAAUAACGGCCUCCAACCAGCAGCCUUUGAGUGGUCCGGGGAAUUUCAAUUCCCCCUGAAAUCAGAUGCAGAGCUGGACCGCUUUGAGGCCUAGCUGGCGGACCCUGCCAACGAUAGGCAGAAACAUGCCCUUGUGAAUACCCUGUCUGCUGUCGGGGGUGUGGAUUUGAAGAAGGUGACAUGGAACAUUCUGUCAUACCUGUUUUCCUGCCCCCUUUCUCGAACAAUUAAUUGGAAGGGUGUGAACAAGAAGAGGGCCUUCCACAGGAUGGCAUCACGUACCCUCCUCAGCCGUGCAGUGCGCAAAUGCGCACUGACAGCCAGUGCAACAGAAGCAGAAAUAUGGAGGCAUUCAAUUAGGUGGUUUGCCCUUUCGGCGGACAGGAGCGGAGGGCGCCAGGAGAGACUGGCGCGUCAGCAGCAGGAGCAACAGCAACAGUUGCCACA